rnacentral:lncRNA from 1 species
AAAAGUCCCAGAAUGGCAGCAGAAGUCGCAACUAGUGACUGAUAUAUAACCAUUUCGAACACCUUUGCGUGUGUUUCUCCUUUUAGAAGCUUUCUGAAGGUGAGUUGUGUUAGAGAAAGCAUCAAACCGUACCCAGCAGAAGCACCAAUGGUGCAAAUGAAUCCGAUUGCAUAUUUUCCUUUAGAGACUUCAACAUGGCUUGCUGGAUUGGUUUGAAAUAUCAGGAGGGAGGAGGAUAUUGUUAGUAGAACUAGUGAAUUGAUUAUAAAUGGAGUGAACUUUUGUGAAUGUAGGAAGAAUGAGAAGAGAGCAUUGAAGGCCAAUUGGGACGCACAAAUGAGGGAAAAAGUCGAUACCGGAAGGUGUAAGAGUCCAAUAGAAUACAUCAAGCUGUACGCCACUAGGCAAAUACCGAAAGAGAAAUAGACCAAUGCCAGUAUC